rnacentral:rRNA from 1 species
CGGAGUGGCGGACGGGUGAGGAAUACAUCGGAAUCUACUCUGUCGUGGGGGAGUAACGUAGGGAAACUUACGCUAAUACCGCAUACGACCUACGGGUGAAAGCAGGGGAUCUUCGGACCUUGCGCGAUUGAAUGAGCCGAUGUCGGAUUAGCUAGUUGGCGGGGUAAAGGCCCACCAAGGCGACGAUCCGUAACUGGUCUGAGAGGAUGAUCAGUCACACUGGAACUGAGACACGGUCCAGACUCUACGGGAGGCAGCAGAC